GUGAGAAGUAAAUGGUUCACUUUUCACAGCGCAACGAAAUUUUAACAUGGUGUGUUCGUCCACCAAAUCUUAACUUCCAAUCUGACUGUUAUCUCCUUCUGUUUUGUCCUUCUAAUAUUACAAAUUGAAGGAUUUAACGUUGUUUUUCACUCUCUAGAGCCAAAUAAUCGGAACAACAAAAAGUAAGUAUCCUUUUUUUCAUUUUCGUGUAUCAUCCAACUUGUGAGAAGUUACGUGGUAUUUUCAUUUUGUGGUGUUUGUGCAUGUAAGGUUCUUAAAUUAGUUGAUUUGGUGAUCUUGUUGUUUAAUUCUAGCUCAUGUUUCUUUUGGAACUUGCUAGUUCUUCCUCUGUCUCUAAGUGUUUUUUAUUUUCUUUUGCGACAUUUAGGAACAAUAGCAGAAUGGGAUCCAAGUUCAUAACUUGUAUCAAAUGUUCAUAAGUUAUUAAUUAUAUUCACAUUCUUAGCCAAAGAAAAAAAAUACUCGAACCAAAGAAUGAUUGUACACUAAAUACUUUCGUUGAGCUGAAAAUUAAAGAACACCAAUAAUUACGAGUACGGAGGAUCCGUAGGUCUGAUCAUGUGAAAAUCUCUAAAGAAAUCCACUAAAACUUCUUGACGAAACAACUUUCUCUUUUUCAAGAAUAGCUGCUUUCACGUACUAUCACUUUAUCUCUCAAACGACCAUCUUCUAACUCACUCAAUUACACGCUAAAGGUAAACAUUAAGAGCAUUUCUAAUGUAUAUCUCUAUAAUUUUCUAUAAAAUAUAUAACUUUAUUGUAGAUGUAAUUUUGUUCCAAAGUAUGCUUCUACAAAAGAGAAUGUUUACUUAUAGAAGAAAAUAUAGAAAAUGUUACUUUUGUCUUUAUAUGUAGAGUUGAAAAUAGCACUUUUCUAUAUCUUCUGUUAAAAAUAGAGGAAUUAUAUCAUAAAAGCAUAAAAUGAAGCAAAUAUAUCUUUAUAUAUAAAAUAGAGAUUUCUCCCACCUGCUUGCGCCACGUAGACGUCCAUGUCACAAAGUCGGUUUUAUGAGCGCGACAGGUUUCCCUUCUUGCAGUACACUGCAUUUCAUUAAUGAGACAUUGGGCUCAUGCAUUCCAUUGUUUGUUUUGAUCACAGAGUUAAGCCUGAUACCGAGAGGCCCAUAUAUUGUUUAUGAACAACACGUUGUUUUAAGGUUUGGCCUCUUCUUAACACCAAAUAGAAUUUUUUAAUGUUGUUCUGUUUCCUCUUCUUCUUUUUUUUUAUCACUGUUCGGUUUUCUCUUCUAAUCAGUUGAAAAACUGAGAGUUACAGAUCAAUGUGAAGCACGAUCUGACAUUAAAGGUGUGUUUACUCUUUGUAAGACGGUGUAUCUACACCUAUAUAAAGGUUAUCAUCCUUCACUUGAAUAUCUAUACAUGUCCGUUUCUUCUCGAUCAGACCAAGCCCUCGCUACUUUGCGGUUAUAUGGAAGCAAUCUCUGCUUCACUUCAAAAUCCUAAUCUUAUCCCCAAUAUCUCUCACUCUUCUGGUCCUCUUUCUGCAACCACCGUGGAGAUUCCGAAUCCUGCUUCCGUUUCUGUAGAGGAAGUACCGGCUAAAUCUCCAACGAAAAGGUCCUCUGUGUUUGAUAAUAUAGGAGACGAGACUGAUUUGCUAACCACCACGACGGAGAUCAUUCUUUCAAGAUGCUAAGUGAGUUAAUUGAAAUUGGGAUCUGAAACAAUUCGAGGCAAAACAGAUCGGGAUUCGGUGAUAGUUGAUGGUUAGAUCCUCUAAAGCUCGAAUCUUUAUUUCAGUUCUGCACUCUUUUUAUAGGCAAAGAGGAGAAAAUGGGUUGAAGAUAACCAAUAAACAAGUACUAACGGUUUUUUCUCUUCGAUACCUCGAUUAUCCAAAGGUGGGCAUGGAUGAAGCAAUAUCAUCACAAGAAUAUCAACUCCUCAAUUAACGGUGAUUUCCAUAUCGUGCGUACUUUGCAGCUAAACAUAAUUUGAAGUUUGAAGUUUUUGUCUUGCAGGUCGUGCUGCAGUGAUAGGGUUCUUCGUGGCUUACACUUUUGUUCCUGUCAUGAAUCCGGAUUUUUUUCGUAUUGAAAUCUAGAGGUCUGUUUGAAAUUUGAAGGUUGAAACAUGGGUUUAAAGAUGUUGUCCAAGAGAUUGAAUCUGAAGUUAGCUGCAAGCUGGAGCAAGGUAAACCUGGGAUGCCGUUAGAUAAGAGAUUCAUCACGAUUUUAUACCUUCUGUGUGUUUCAGUUUUCACCAGAAGGAUAGGAGACGAUACACUAGGUUGCAGCAUAUGAUUUUUGAGUUAGAAGCUUCAGAAUUGGUUGGAUCAAUUAAUAGACCACGUGCCUGGACAGCCUUUCGAGCGUAUGGUUUUGAGUUAACUGAAGUGCUGAGUAAUCUUACAGAUUGGAAGGUGAAUAUGGUGUCAAGAGAGGCUAAAUGGGGUGCUUUCUUAAUUGCUCGAAGCGUGACAAAGGAGAUGAGACUUCCGUCCUAUGUGGCCCAGGGUAGUCCUUCUUGGUUACAGGGUUUGCUUGCAGAGGAAGGUACGAGGAACAGAUGAUGGUGGAGUUGAAAGUCUACGGUGAAACUAUGUGUUUUUGGAGAGAAGCUGGAGUUUUAGCUCUUAGCGUUUCUAUUUCGCUUUUUAUUCGUAGUUUUCAAUUUUUGUUGAGGUUCGUUCCUUUUGAAUCUUUAUGGUGUUUCCGACACUUUCUGUUUUCUCAGUUAAAAAAAAAAAUUGGUUUGCGUUUCA